UUUUGACGUUUUCACCCAUAAAAAAUGGAAGAAAACAGUUGAAAUUUUUCAAUUUUGUUUCUUAUGGGUUCAUAUGUAAACCAUUAAAAAGUUGACCCUCUAAACUGUUUCAGUAAGCGUAACACAAAAAUGCUCAUUUUCAGAAAAUCUAGAACUGCAAAAAUAAAACAAAAAUGUUCAUAGAGUCCGCUUUCUAUACCGCAAUCCACACGAC
rnacentral:lncRNA from 1 species